UUAGAGGCAAACGGGUGGAACCGCAUAGUCGAUCCGGGGGAUUCAACCUGCCGUCUGGGACGCGCUGGGGUGCCGGAGACGCCAAGGCCCGCUCCUCGGCGUCCGGUCUCCGGUCGGUCUGGUACACUUUCCUCUGGUCGAACGCCACGACCGGCUCUCUGGCGGCCACAAGCCUGGCUGGGAAGGUGCUUUUCGGCUCGCCCGGAAGAGUUAUGCUCUCCCAACCGCGAGCGUUGGAAGGGUUCGACAGGCGCGAGGUGCUUCGGGCCGGUGGCGAAUCGGUCGGUCUUCCUCCCACCAGUCUUGA
rnacentral:rRNA from 1 species